rnacentral:rRNA from 1 species
CAACAGGGAUUGCCCUAGUAACGGCGAGUGAAGCGGCAACAGCUCAAAUUUGAAAUCUGGCUCUUUCAGAGUCCGAGUUGUAAUUUGCAGAGGGCGCUUUGGCUUUGGCAGCGGUCCAAGUUCCUUGGAACAGGACGUCACAGAGGGUGAGAAUCCCGUACGUGGUCGCUAGCUAUUGCCGUGUAAAGCCCCUUCGACGAGUCGAGUUGUUUGGGAAUGCAGCUCUAAAUGGGAGGUAAAUUUCUUCUAAAGCUAAAUAUUGGCCAGAGACCGAUAGCGCACAAGUAGAGUGAUCGAAAGAUGAAAAGCACUUUGGAAAGAGAGUCAAACAGCACGUGAAAUUGUUGAAAGGGAAGCGCUUGCAGCCAGACUUGCUUGCAGUUGCUCAUCCGGGCUUUUGCCCGGUGCACUCUUCUGCAGGCAGGCCAGCAUCAGUUUGGGCGGUGGGAUAAAGGUCUCUGUCAUGUACCUCUCUUCGGGGAGGCCUUAUAGGGGAGGCGACAUACCACCAGCCUAGACUGAGGUCCGCGCAUCUGCUAGGAUGCUGGCGUAAUGGCUGUAAGCGGCCCGUCUUGAAACACGGACCAAGGAGUCUAACAUCUAUGCGAGUGUUUGGGUGUCAAGCCCGAGCGCGUAAUGAAAGUGAACGGAGGUGGGAACCCGCAAGGGUGCACCAUCGACCGAUCCUGAAGUUUACGGAAGGAUUUGAGUAAGAGCAUGGCUGUUGGGACCCGAAAGAUGGUGAACUAUGCUUGAAUAGGGUGAAGCCAGAGGAAACUCUGGUGGAGGCUCGCAGCGGUUCUGACGUGCAAAUCGAUCGUCAAAUUUGGGCAUAGGGGCGAAAGACU